rnacentral:miRNA from 1 species
CAUUCGGUUUAAGUUCUUUUCU